AAAUACAAGUUAAGAUUUAAAUACAAAGUUUUAGUUAAAAAAGUCUGGAAAAGCUAAUGUCGUCUGAGGCACUAGGUAUUACUCCAGAAGAGUCUCCUGAUACUAGUCUUAUUGACUUAUAUUCAAAAGUUGUUAGAAGGGAAACCGCACUCUCACUCUCAUUUUGAACAAGCUCACAUGACAAACUAGUAAGUACACACGUUAGAAGACAAAUUAAUAAAUUCAUAUAAUCCCCUAGGAAAAUAUGCAUGAACCCUUAAACAAAUUACAUCAAGAACUAUUUCGACAGAAAUAGGUAUUGUAUUUAGAGAAUCAUAUCGUUCUUAGAAUAAUAAAAUUGUUGUUAAGGAGUAAAGAAGAUUUCGUCAAAGAAAAUACAUGCACAACUUUUCUUAAAAAUUAACGAAAUAUAUUAAAAUUAAAGAAGACACAAUAUUAGAAAUAUUUUCAUCAAACUAAAUUUGAAAAUCGAAUUGAAUCGUAGUGGGUUUCAUGUAUUAAGUCGCCUUGUCCUGUUUUAAAUGCUGAACACGUUUCAGAAACUACCUUAUCUGACUGCUUGAAUGGUUUAAUUUUUCACUUAUUAUCAUUAUUGCACUGCCUUACCUUUUCAAUAUGUCAAUGUCAAGUCCGAGCUAUUUGCUGUCAUUGUUUUCACCAUAGAGGAAAUAUAAGAGAUGAAAAUAUAUUUCGUCUAUAGCUUUCACAUCAACGUAUGUAUAUUUUAAAUCAGCUUCAAUAAUAAAAUCCGGAUGGAAUAAGUCCUGUUUUUUUCGGCAAAUAUGCAAAGAUGUGGAACGUGCAGUAUUUUGGCCCAAGCGCAAACCGAGCGCAGUAUCCGCAAAAAAUCCAUAUCACCUGCCAGAGGAGAACCAAGAAGUUCAAGGAACUAGUAGUCCAGUGCUGGUGGAAGCUUAGAUGAUCACCGCUAAUAUUGUGAAAUUUGCAUUCGCCACGAAGACCUGAGUGAUGCAAGCAAAAUGGAUUCCAAAAAAGCGUGUCGAUCAAAAACCCAAGAAAGCACUAUUGAAUAUGAAGCUACGAACGGACCUGUGUUAAAAAGAAAAAUUAACAAAAAGAGCAAGUGACUGAAAAAAAUAACUCUUCAUACCUGCCACGAAAACAACAAUGAAGAUGUGGCGAAAUUGUUUAAAAAUCCAAGAAAAUUGACAAUAAAAAGAGGAACAGAUUUACGUUAAAAACUUGACAAGAAAAAAGGUUUUCCUACAAAAAAAGCAGACAAAUUGAAAGAAAAAAUGAAUCACCGAGUGUCAAUAAGAAUUGAAAAGAUAUUGAUGAGUUAGCUAAGAAGCAUGAUGAGAAUGCCCUAGACUUUGAAACCAAAGAAGAAGAAUGUGUUAAAGAAGGAAAAUGCUGAAAAGUCCGAUCGCUGUCCCCAGAUGAUUUUGAAAAAGAAAACUAUUGCAUCAAGAACAGCGCUACACCACCAGAAGUUGUCCCACAAUAUCCAAUACAUAAGACUUAUCAAGAACCAAUCGGCCUGCUUCCACUUAAAGGACACUUAAACUAUUUCUUAAAAAAAGUAAAAGACUGGCUUUUUACAAUUGAUUUAAAUUGAUAACUAUUAUUGAAUUUUGUAUCAUAGUUUUAUAAUCAUAAAAAAUGUACCAUUUUGUUGUUAUUUUUGCCUAAAUUUUAUGAUGAAUUAUUUAGUACCUAUGAAUGUAUGUAUAUACCUACUCUUUUUAUAUUCAGUUAUACUAUCUUUAAAAUAUUUAUUGAUUUACUUAACUCAUUGAACCAUUGUUUUAUUAUUUGUAUUGCUGAUUGUCGACCCACAACAGUUUCUAAUUUAUUGUAAAAUUAAAUCACAAUGUAUCAUUCAAUACUAACUUUCAAGUUAAAGAAUGAUAGCUAUUAUUUAUUCUUUUUUACACUUGCUAUUGUACUAGUUUUAAGUUGGAAAUGAAAAAAUGAAUGAAUAAAUUGUUUCUAAUUCUAAUUCUAGGUCCACCACUUCCGAUCUAGGAUUAUUUAGAUCGUUAGAGAUUUGAAAUAUAGAGAGAAACCAAAUAUCAGUUUUUAUAACGAUGAUAGUAGGAGUAAAUUUAUAUUAAAGUUUUGUAAAUAUCAAAAUUCAAACGAAUAAUUUUAUUAUAGUGACAUAAUAUAAGGCUUUUGUAGAUGAUCCAAAUUCAUGAAGUAACUUUUUUCAAAAAUAAUUGUGAUAAUUUUCAUAAUCUUAAAUAUCUUUCCUUAA